GGGGAAUAUUGCGCAAUGGGCGAAAGCCUGACGCAGCGACGCCGCGUGAGGGAUGAAGGUUUUCGGAGCGUAAACCUCUGUCAGAAGGGAAGAAACCGCACCGUGCUAAUCAGCGGUGCCUUGACGGUACCGUAAGAAUAAGCACCGGCUAACUACGUGCCAGCAGCCGCGGUAAUACGUAGGGUGCGAGCGUUAAUCGGAAUUACUGGGCGUAAAGCGUGCGCAGGCGGUUAUGUAAGACAGAUGUGAAAUCCCCGGGCUCAACCUGGGAACUGCAUUUGUGACUGCAUGGCUAGAGUACGGUAGAGGGGGAUGGAAUUCCGCGUGUAGCAGUGAAAUGCGUAGAUAUGCGGAGGAACACCGAUGGCGAAGGCAAUCCCCUGGACCUGUACUGACGCUCAUGCACGAAAGCGUGGGGAGCAAACA
rnacentral:rRNA from 1 species